rnacentral:rRNA from 1 species
UAUUAUGAACAUACCACUCUGAACGUUCCUGAUCCCACCUGAGAUCGGAAGCUGAGCAGGGUUGGGCUCAGUUAGGAUUUGGAAGGAAGGCUCACCCGAGAUGCUGAGGCUGAGCC